ensembl:lncRNA
GGAUGAUGAAAACGUGAAACGCAAGCAAAAGGCCAAUUGAUCCCAGGACCAACUUGCCCAGUUUGUGCUGGAGCGGAGGGGGGUAAUAAAGGGUAGAUUCGGGGCUGGAGUGACCAGUAAGAAGAAGCGGGAGGCAUGGGAAGAAAUAUGCGUGAACCUAAAUGCUUCCUUCCCGGCUGUGUGUCGCUCUACCGAAGAUUACGAAAAACGUUGGUAUGCCCUGCAAUCACAGUGUAGGUUGGAGAUUGCCGACUAUAAAAGAGCUGUCGCGACUACAGGAUCUGCACCAAAGCCGUUGUUCCCGGUCGCAUCGGUGGUGUACGCGUCCUAGGCUCGGACACAAGCAUAACUGGCCUUGAGGGUGCAGCUGAUCCUGCAGGCGAGUUGCUAAAGGAGAUUGAGGGGAGAAAUGAAGAUCAAAGUCCAGCUGCAGCUGCAGCAUCACAUCAAACAGCUCUUCCUCUUCUCCCUCUCCUAGCCCUUCCUCUGCCAGCUCUUCCUCUUCCAGCUGCACCUCCUCUCACAGCUCUUCCUCUUCCAACUCUCCCUCUUGGUGCACCAACUGCUUCUCCUCUCCCUCCUGCUGCUGGUGCCAGUUCACUGUUUGAGAAGAAAUUGAGGUUGGAAAUGAGGGUUAUAAAAGGCAAAGAAAGGUCCUCAAAGCGAAAGAGUGGCUAAUACAAAUGAAGACAGUAUAUUACAGUCUUAAGAUAGAAAAAUUGAAAGAAAAUAAAUGUUAUGAACUACACAAAUUUGUGUUGACUGAUUUGUGCCAAGGCGUUUACGAUUCUUUGUGAAUAGGUCUUACUG